GACGAACGCUGGCGGCGUGCUUAAUACAUGCAAGUCGAACGGAAAGGCCCUGCUUUUGUGGGGUGCUCGAGUGGCGAACGGGUGAGUAACACGUGAGUAACCUGCCCUGGACUUUGGGAUAACUUCAGGAAACUGGGGCUAAUACCGGAUAGGAGCUCCUGCUGCAUGGUGGGGGGUGGAAAGUUUCGGCGGUUGGGGAUGGACUCGCGGCUUAUCAGCUUGUUGGUGGGGUAGUGGCUUACCAAGGCUUUGACGGGUAGCCGGCCUGAGAGGGUGACCGGCCAAAUUGGGACUGAGGUCCGGCCCAGAAUCCUACCGGAGGGAGCAGUGGGGAAUAUUGCACCAUGGGCGGAAGCCUGAUGCAGAAACGCCGCGUGCGGAAUAACGGCCUUCGGGUUGUAAACCGCUUUCGCCUGUGACGAAGAGUGAGUGACGGUAAUGGGUAAAGAAGCACCGGCUAACUACGUG
rnacentral:rRNA from 1 species